AGCAGCCGCGGUAAUUCCAGCUCCAAUAGCGUAUAUUAAAGUUGUUGCAGUUAAAAAGCUCGUAGUUGAAUUUCGGGAUUCGUCGGUUGGUCGGGCUUCACUGUCCGCACUGACCUGACGGGUUCCUACCUUCUGAAUAACCAGCAUGCUAUUAAGUUAGUGCGUUGGGGAAGCAGAGCUAUUACCUUGAAAAAAUUAGAGUGCUUAAAGCAGGCUUGUGCUUGAAUAGAUUAGCAUGGAAUAAUAAAAUAGGACGGCAUGGUUCUAUUUUGUUGGUUUCUAGGACCACCGUAAUGAUUAAUAGGGAUAGUUGGGGGCAUUAGUAUUCAAUUGUCAGAGGUGAAAUUCUUGGAUUUAUUGAAGACUAACUUCUGCGAAAGCAUUUGCCAAGGAUGUUUUCAUUAAUCAAGAACGAAAGUUAGGGGAUCGAAGACGAUCAGAUACCGUCGUAGUCUUAACCAUAAACUAUGCCGACUAGGGAUCGGACGAUGUUAAUUUUUUAAUGACUCG
rnacentral:rRNA from 1 species